UACGUAGGUGGCAAGCGUUGUCCGGAAUUAUUGGGCGUAAAGCGCGCGCAGGCGGUCCUUUAAGUCUGACGUGAAAGCCCACGGCUCAACCGUGGAGGGUCAUUGGAAACUGGGGGACUUGAGUACAGAAGAGGAGAGCGGAAUUCCACGUGUAGCGGUGAAAUGCGUAGAGAUGUGGAGGAACACCAGUGGCGAAGGCGGCUUUCUGGUCUGUAACUGACGCUGAGGCGCGAAAGCGUGGGGAGCAAACAGG
rnacentral:rRNA from 1 species